ensembl:snRNA U1 U1 spliceosomal RNA
GUACUUACCUGGCAGGAGAGACACCAUGAUCAAUAAGGUGGUUCACCCAGGGUGAGGCUUGGCCAUUGCACUCUGGUUUGUGCUGACCUCUGCGAAUUCCCCAAAUGUGGGAAUCUUGACUGCAUAAUUUCAA